rnacentral:misc_RNA from 1 species
GCCGCGGCGGCAACGAGUCCGACGUCGCUAGCGGGCCGCUAAGGAAGCCCCCCCCCAAGUAGGGCGCUAACGAAGCCGACGCCGUUGGCGUGCUCGGCGCUGUUGUACGUGCGUGCGUGCCUCUCCGGUCUCUGCGUCGUUCUCCGACACCAGCGCGGAGGUCCGAGUGGAAUACCAACGGCAUGUUCUUUAAGUUACUCAGGGGCCAUGGCAGGCAUAGUUCCAGACCUCCGGACAAAUCGAAGAGUGACCGCGACAAAAGCAGCGGCAGUCAUCGCGCGAACGGAACAGCGAAGGUUGCCAUGGAGUCAACAGAAGUUCAGUGUGACGCUUCUUCAAACCCAGAAUCUAGUCCCUUCCUUCACGUUCAAGAUGAACUGCUCUCAAAAGUACCAGGGGCAGAAAGCGAGGCCGCGAGACGGGUUCAUGAAGAAAAUUUGCUGCUUCAGCAGGAGCUCAAGGAGAAGUGCGACUUACUUUCCAAGCUUGAGGAGGAACUCGACCAUCGUGACGACGCAACGACGGCGCUUGAGGUGCUGGAACGGACGGCAACGCCCCUGUCGCUUAACCACCGCCCGCAGCAGCGGGAGGAGCUUCGCGUGACGCAGGAGGCCCUGAGCAGCCUUCGACAGUGCUUCAGGUUGGACGACCCGUACCAGCACACGCUGGACACCAUCGAGCAAUCGCUGUGCACCUUACUCGAACGCGUCACCUGCAUGGAGAAGAUGGCCGCCGCAUCUUCCGCUUGUCCUUCCACGGGUUCACUGAGUGCUGCAUCCGCGCGCCGGCUGAACUUCGACUCGACCGGUGACCCGCGGCGGCUACCAAUCACAACACUUUCCCGGCUACCGCAUCGACCCUCCAACAUCCCUAGGCCACAGCUCUCAGCCACCGAGCACCAAGGUGAUCUACUACACAGAGAGGUCGGUCACCCCGUUCCUGUCAGCCAUUCCCAAAAGACUCAGCGACAUCCGACUUCGAGACUUCAAAGUAGUGUUUGAUCGUCCCGGCCAGUACCGAUAUCAUUUCAAGACACUCGAUCCCGAGUUUGGCAUGGUGAAAGAGGAGGUACUUCACGAUGAUGACCCCGUACCCGGCUGGGACGGCAAGAUCGUUGCUUGGAUAGAGGAGGACAUCUGAGGAACUGCACUGCCGCGCUCCUCCUUUGCUCAGGCAUCGCUCAUCCAUUCAUCUGUACAUAGCGCAUCAUUUGUAAACGUGUGCCUACAAUCUUUAUAGCAACAGUUAUGUUGCCACUUGCACACAUUGUAACUUAUUGAAAGUGCGAGUCAGCUUGUUCACUGUUACGUGGACGUGCCGAAUGAUUGUUCAAGACUUGGUUCGUUGUUUCAACUUCACGAGAAGUUCCGGUGACCUCGGAAUACGUGGACGCGUUCAUAAUUUGUUUGCAGGCCAAGCUAUUCUACCGUUAUGUCCACACAGCAAAAACUUCAAGUACGGUUCUCGAACAUGAAGCCACAACGCAUUCAAACACACUGUCUCAGUACUUCUCUAGAAAAUGUACUUUUGAAUUGAACAGCAUGACAAUAUUGGCCUGAAGUAUGAACCUUGAAGUAUGAAGUACGAAUCUUAAACCAACUCACCCAGCGGCAAGGUUUACCGAACCAAAGUCUUGGCAUGUUUGAAGAAUGUAGUGAUAUAAUGAAAUCUUGGCCUGUUGAAGAAUGAAAAAAGGGGAUGGACUGAACGAAAAGUGUAUAAAGACUGAAUUUCUCAUGCACUCAACCAUCUGGCCUAAACAAACUAAAAAAACAAGUUCGAAGUUGAUAAAUCAGAAAGUGCUAGGCUUUAAUUGAUGUCACCUUUAGUACCAACCUGCCUUGAUUUUCUUUUCUAAUCUACUUUCCUUUUCUUUGUGUAAAAAAAAUUUAUGAAUGCUUUGAAGACUUCAUCUUACUCUAAUGCUAGGUGAUGCUGCUUUUUUGAAGUGAUCGCUUCAAAUAAAGUAAGGCGUUCACACGAGUGGUUUCUGGCAUGUUCAAAGAAAUGUGACUCCACAAAGUAUGGUUGUGUACAAAAACAAACGAGCGUGGUUUCGACUAUAUUUGCACAGCAAAGCCCACAAUUUGAAGGCUGUGCUAUGUAUAUGCGGGCUAUUUGUCACUUUUUAUAGUAGUUUUGUUGUAUCUGAGGAUUUCCUCAAAGCUUUGCUACCAAUGUUUAAAUGUGUCGCCUGCAGGAACGUGUUUCAUAUUGAAAAUGUUUGUAUUUAUCGCAUUGAAAAACUUGCAGUUAAUGAAGCAAAGUGCAAUUUCCAAAGUUGCUGCAUGAAGUGAUAAUAAAAAAAACGUUCAUUUACAA